AACGAACGCUGGCGGCAGGCUUAACACAUGCAAGUCGAGCGCCCCGCAAGGGGAGCAGCAGACGGGUGAGUAACGCGUGGGAACAUACCCUUUCCUGCGGAAUAGCUCCGGGAAACUGGAAGUAAUACCGAAUACGCCCUACGGGGGAAAGAUUUAUCGGGGAAGGAUUGGCCCUCCUUGGAUUGGCUAGUUGGAGGGGUAAAGGCCUACCGAGACAACGGUCCAUAGCUGGUCUGAGAGGAUAAUCAGCCACAUAGGGACUGAGACACGGCCCAAACUCCUACGGGCGGCAGCAGUGGUGAAUAUUGGACAAUGGGCGCAAGCCUGAUCCAGCCAUGCCGCGUGAAAGAUGAAGGCCUUAGGGUUGUAAAGCUCUUUCACCGGAGAAGAUAAUGACGGUAUCCGUAGAAGAAUCCCCGGCUAACUUCGUGCCAGCAGCCGCGGUAACAC
rnacentral:rRNA from 1 species